CGAGGGCUUCACCGCCUAUCAAGUCUUGACAAACUCCGAAUACUAUCACUUGGUCUUCGGGAGUGAGGGCAUGGGUGCUAAGGUCCAUGUCCGAAAGAGGAACAACUCAGACCACCGGCUAAGGUCCCGAAAUAAGGGCUAAGUUGAACAAACGAAGUAAAACUGCAAAGACAGCUAGGAUGUUGGCUUGGAAGCAGCCAUUCAUUUAAAGAGUGCGUAACAGCUCACUAGUCGAGGAGUUUUGCAUGGAUAAUAAUCGGGCAUAAGCCCUUUACCGAAGCUGUGGAUGUCGCAAGACAUGGUAGGGGAGCAUUCCGGCGGCGACGAAGGCCGUCCUCGAGGACGACUGGAGCUCCCGGAAAAGCAAAUGUAGGUAUAAGUAACGAUAAAGGGGGCGCGAAACCCCCUCGCCAUAAGACUAAGGAUUCCUGAUCAACGCUAAUCGGAUCAGGGUAAGUCGGGCCCUAAGGCGCAGCCGAACGGCGCAGCCGAUGGAAGAAACGGUAAAGAUUCCGUUACUGGAUAUAGGAGCGAUGUGGAGACGGAGAAGUGACACACCCGCCUGCCGACGGAAGCGCAGGUUAAAGGAAGUAGGUAAACGCCGGGCAGGCAAAUCCGCCUGGCGUGCCGAAGCUGACAGUAUCGAGAGCCCCCGGGCAAUCGAAUAGCGGUGGUAACCAGGCUCCCAAGAAAAUCCGCUAAGCAUAUUCUAUAUCCACCCGUACCCCAAACGGACACACGUAGUCGGGUAGAAUAUACCAAGGCGCUCGAAAGACUCACGGUUAAGGAACUAGGCAAAUUGACCCUGUAACCUCGGGAAAAAGGGUCCCCAGUAAGAUGGGGCGCAGAGAAUAGGUCCAGGCAACUGUUUAACAAAAACACAGGGCUGUGCAAAAUUUGAAGAUGAAGUAUACAGCCUGACACCUGCCCGGUGCCGGAAGGUUAAGAGGAGAGCUAAUCGCAAGAGAAGGCUUGAAUUGAAGCCCCGGUAAACGGCGGCCGUAACUAUAACGGUCCUAAGGUAGCGAAAUUCCUUGUCGGGUAAGUUCCGACCUGCACGAAUGGUGUAAUGAUCUGGACACUGUCUCAACCGUGACUUCGGUGAAAUUGUAGUAUCGGUGAAGAUGCCGAUUACCCGCAACGGGACGAAAAGACCCCGUGAACCUUUACUGCAACUUAGCAUUGCGUUUGGGCAUUUGAUGUGUAGGAUAGUCCGGAGGCUACGAGCCGGCGACGCCAGUCGUCGGGGAGCCGCUGUUGAAAUACGGACCUUCGAAUGUUUGAGCGCUAACUCGCUGUAGCGAGGACACUGUUUGGUGGGUAGUUUGACUGGGGUGGUCGCCUCCAAAAGCGUAACGGAGGCUUCUAAAGGUACCCUCAGACCGAUUGGUAACCGGUCGGAGAGUGUAAUGGCACAAGGGUGCUUGACUGAGAGACCCACAAGUCGAUCAGGUAGGAAACUAGAGCAUAGUGAUCCGGU
rnacentral:rRNA from 1 species